rnacentral:rRNA from 1 species
AUUGAACGCUGGCGGCAUGCCUUACACAUGCAAGUCGAACGGCAGCACGGGGGCAACCCUGGUGGCGAGUGGCGAACGGGUGAGUAACACAUCGGAACGUGCCCAGUAGUGGGGGAUAGCUCGGCGAAAGCCGGAUUAAUACCGCAUACGACCUACGGGUGGAAAGCGGGGGAUCGCAAGACCUCGCGCUAUUGGAGCGGCCGAUGUCAGAUUAGGUUGUUGGUGGGGAAAGGCCUACCAAGCCGACGAUCUGUAGCUGGUCUGAGAGGACGACCAGCCACAGUGGAACUGAGAGACGGUCCACACACCUACGGGUGGCAGCAGUCGAGGAUCUUGGACAAUGGGCGCAAGCCUGAUCCAGCGACGCCGCGUGGAGGGAUGAAGGUC